UUAUGUGUUGGCUUACGUCGAUACUUUAUUGGACUUAGAGCUGCCAUUGGAGAAAAGGAAGUUCGAUGAAGAAGAAAUCGUGACAUUAACCUCUGAGUUUCUUAACGCCGGCACCGAUACAACCACUACAGCUCUACAAUGGAUAAUGGCAAAUUUGGUGAAAUACCCUAAAAUUCAAAACAAAUUAUGGCUCGAAAUCAAAAGUGUAAUGGGAGAUAAUGAUGAUGAAGAAAUCAAAGAAGAUGAUUUGCAGAAGAUACCGUAUUUAAAAGCAGUGAUAUUGGAAGGGCUGAGACGUCACCCGCCAGGCCACUUCGUGUUACCUCAUCGUACGACGGAAGACACCGUGUUGGGUGGUUUUUGGGUGCCGAAAAACGGAACGAUCAAUUUCAUGGUGGCGGAUAUGGGGU
rnacentral:lncRNA from 1 species